UUGCUCGCUUCGGCAACACAUAUACUAAAAUUGGAACGAUACAGAGAAGAUUAGCAUGGCCCCUGUGUUGUUGUUAUUUUUAAUGUUUUAAUGUAUUUGUAUGUUUUU